AUACGUAGGGUGCAAGCGUUAAUCGGAAUUACUGGGCGUAAAGCGUGCGCAGGUGGUUCGGAAAGAAGGAUGUGAAAUCCCAGGGCUCAACCUUGGAACUGCAUUCUUAACUACCGAACUAGAGUAUGUCAGAGGGGGGUAGAAUUCCGCGUGUAGCAGUGAAAUGCGUAGAUAUGCGGAGGAAUACCGAUGGCGAAGGCAGCCCCCUGGGAUAAUACUGACGCUCAUGCACGAAAGCGUGGGUAGCAAACAGGAUUAGAUACCCUGGUAGUCCACGCCCUAAACGAUGUCAACUAGCUGUUGGGCCCUUCGGGGCUUAGUAGCGUAGCUAACGCGUGAAGUUGACCGCCUGGGGAGUACGGUCGCAAGAUUAAAACUCAAAGGAAUUGACGGGG
rnacentral:rRNA from 1 species